rnacentral:lncRNA from 1 species
GACUCUGUCCUUCCUGAGAGGAGGAAAUGACCAAGUUCCAGGAUCUCACCGGGAUAUGGAGCCACAUGAGAUCACAAGAACCUGCGUGUAAUGAGGCUGGGGGAAGGUCUGAAGUUCAGAUCUCAGUGGUGUGCUGGAAUCCCCCCUUGGAAAGACUGGACUUCUACAGUGUCUCUCAUCUGUGGGUAUCUGCCCAGGAUGCACUCCAUGUUUUCCCCAAACACAGCCAAGAAGGGGCUGGAGCAGGUUCAUUGGCUGUCCUCAUUCUGCAGCCCCUACCAAGGUCUGUCUGCCUAUUGCUGAACACAAGGUGGUCAAGACUCCUUUCAGGCUCCUUGGCAUAUAGUACUGGAUCCCACAAAUCCUACAGAGGCACUUUUAUUCAUGAAUGGAUGCCUAAUUAAAUGUUAAAGAAGGGAACAAGAAGGAAGAACGCUUUUCAUGCCAUGAUGCCUCUCCGUUCAGCCCGUGUAAUGUCAUUCUACUGAUUUGGUCUCCAUUGUUUCUGAUGAGAAAUCAGCUGUUAAUAUUAUUGUAUAUGGUAAAUUGCUUUUCUUUCACUGCUUUCAAAAUUUUCUGUUUCUGGCUUGACUAUAACGUAUCUAGCUGUGGGUCUGUUUGUAUUUAUACUACUUUGCAUUUAUUGAGCUUAAUGAAUAUGUAAAUUAACAUUUUUCAUCAAAUUUGGGAAGUUUUUGGAUAUUACUUAUGUUUUCUAUGCCUUUCUCUCCUCUCCUUCUGGGACUCCCAUUAUUGUUUUGUUGCUAUGUCUGGUGGCGUUCCACAGGUCUCUGAGGCUCUGUUCGCUUUUCCUCAUUCCUCUUAUGCUUUCUGGUGUCUAGACUGUAAAUCCCUAUUGAUCUAUCCUCAAAUUCACGGAUUCUUUCCAUUGCCAGCUCAAAUCUGAUGUUAAAAUCCUUCUACUGAUUUUUUUUCAUUUCACUCAUUGUACUUUGCAAGUCCAUACCUCCCAUGUUUUCUUUAAUAAUUUCUUUUUACUGAUGAUUUCUAUUUGAUGAGCCAGUGUCAUCAUACUUUCCUUUUAAUCUUUAAGCAUUGUUUCCUUUAGUUCUUUGAACAUAUUUAUAAUAGCUUUUUUGAACAAUUUUCCUGUUAAGUCCAGAAUCUGGACCCCCUGGGAGACAGUUUCUAUUAACUGUUAUUUAGAAUGGAAAACCUCUCCUGAUCUAUCUUCAAAUUCAGUGGUUCUUACUUAUGCCAGAUUAAUCCUUUUAAACAUAUUUAGACUUGUUUUAUGGCCCCAAAUAUGGUCUAUCUCAGUGAGUAUGCCAUAUGUACAUAUUCAACUUACUUAACAGUUAUAGAGCUCUUCUGCAUUUUCUAUUUAAUUUGGGUUGGAUUUAGUAUAUGUUUUUCAAAAUAUUAGUCCACCUCCUCUCAGUUAUGGAAUUUACUAACAUGAUGUUUUCCAUAAUAUCCUCUUCUCUAUAAUAUCCAUAGAUACUAUAAUCUACAUAAUGGAACACACUGGAGUUUGUCUGUGAAUUCUUCCAGAUUUUCUGCAUAGACAACCAUGCCAGCUGCAAACAAAGACUUUGUAUCUUCCUUCCUAACCUACAUACAUUUUAUUUCCCUUUCUUGCCUUACUGCAAUAGCAAGGGCUUCCAGUACAAUUUUGAAAAAGAGUGGUAAGAAGGGACAUCCUUCCCUUAUAAUAGAUCUUAAUGCAAAAGCUUUGAGUUUCUCAUUACUAAAUAUGAUCUUAACUGUAGGGUUUUUUUGUGGUCUUUAUCAAGUUGAGAAACUUCCACUCUAUUCCUAGUGAAGUUUUUAUCACAAGUUAGUGUUGGAUUCCACACAUGAAUUAUAAAGCCAUAAAAAAGGAGGAACACAACAUUUGCAACAUGAAUGGACCUUGAGAGCAUUAUGCUAAGUAAAAUAAGUCAGAGAAAGAAAGACAAGUGAUAUGAUCUCACUUGUAUUUUUUUCUUUUAAAGUAGGGUCCAUGCCCAACAUGGGGCUUGAACUCAGGACCCUGAGAUCAAGAGUCACGUGCUCUAUCAACUGAGCCAGUCAGGCACCACAAUCUGUAUUUUAACAUAUGAUCUCACUUGUAUUUGUAUGCGAAUCAAAAACGAAAGGAAGAAAGAAAAAAAGAAAGAAAACACUGAGCUCUUAAAUAAAAAGAACAGAUUGAUGGUUGCCA